CGCCAGCCCGCUCAGAAACUCAAAGGAAUUGACGGGGGCCCGCACAAGCGGUGGAGCAUGUGGUUUAAUUCGAUGAUACGCGAGGAACCUUACCUGGGCUCAAAUGUAUGUUGACGUAUUCUGAAAGGGAUACUUCUUCGGACAAUAUACAAGGUGCUGCAUGGUUGUCGUCAGCUCGUGCCGUGAGGUGUCGGGUUAAGUCCCAUAACGAGCGCAACCCCUAUCAUUAGUUGCCAUCAGGUCAAGCUGGGGACUCUAAUGAAACUGCCUACGCAAGUAGUGAGGAAGGUGGGGAUGACGUCAAAUCAGCACGGCCCUUACGUCCAGGGCUACACACGUGCUACAAUGGCCGAUACAGAGGGCAGCUACCUGGUGACAGGAUGCAAAUCUCCAAAGUCGGUCUCAGUUCGGAUCGGAGUCUGCAACCCGACUCCGUGAAGUUGGAUUCGCUAGUAAUCGUGAAUCAGAAUGUCACGGUGAAUACGUUCCCGGGCCUU
rnacentral:rRNA from 1 species